GGACAGAAAGCUGCCGGGACUACUCGCUCCCUCCAGAAGGACAUCAUGUGGGUGCCAGGCCUGGAGAUAAGAAUGUUUUGUUUGGUGCCAGAUGUACUCAUGACCCAGUAUGGAAAACACUGCAGGUGCACGACCUGUCAAGAUGCCACAUACUAUGUCGUAUGUGCUUGCUGUUAUCAGACAAUUUGCAAAAAUAAAAGAGGCUUGAGCCAGGAGACCGAUGCUUUGGCUCCUGGAGAGUCUCACCUUUAGGACCUCUCUUCAGCUGGUGCCUGAACAGGGAAGCUGAAGGGGGACGUGUGCAGCACCACUGAAGAAGGAAGGGCCCAGGGAACCGAAGGAAACUUUGGAGCUGGGGAAGCUCAUCCUUCAGGAUUUCUGCAGGUUCUUCUACUGCCAGAUGAUAGAGAAAAAUUUGCCUGUUCUGUACCUUCAGACAAUCAUAUGGUUCCUGUGUGAUGCCAUCCAUGGAAAGGGCUUCUGCAAGAUCAAGGCUACCAGUGGUUACCCAGUCACCGGUUGAAACCCAGGCAUGAGCUGAUCCAAGCAACCGCAGUUCGACAUGACCCCACCAAAGAGUUUCACAGAAUGUCCAUUGAGAAACCAAUAAUUGUGCCCAGUGCACCACACCCUCUCCUGAGGAGCACUAGGACCUCUUAGCCUCCUACUCGGGGACAAGUUAAGAGGUUGAUGCACGCUGCUGAAAAAAUCUUGAUGCAGACUCGCAGCCCACAAACUCCUGCUCACCUUUUCCUUGCGAUGCUCGUGGUUAUCACUACUAUGUCUGGUGCCAGGGACAAUGAGCCUGUCAAUGGACCAACAGCUUGGGUUAUACAAUGUCCUCCUAUAGCCCAUUGUAUAUAAACAAAAAGGGGGAGAUGUUGGAGAACAAGAAACCAGAGGCACGUAAGGAUGUCUUGAAGGAAAGGGAUGGAGCAGCGAGGAACCAAAAGCAGUUUUAUCCCCAGGACGGAAGGCUGCCAGGACUGCUCAUUUUCUCCAGAAGGACAUCAUACGGGUGGCCAGGACUGGGGAUAAGAAUGUUUUGUCUGGCACCAGAUGUACUCAUGACCCAGUAUGGAAUACACUGCAAGUGCACAACCUGUCAAGAUGCCACAUACUAUGUUGUAAUGGCUUGUUGUUAUCAAUUUGCAAACAUAAAAGAGGCUUGAGCCAGGGGACCAAUGCUUUGGCUCCUGGAGAGUCUCA